ensembl:lncRNA
CUUACAUUAUUUAUGAAUAUUGAAAAAUAUAAACAUGAAAAUAUAAAAAAUGUGAUUUGCCUAUUACCUGGGCAUAUCAAAGUCCCAGAGUGGGAUCGCUGCUGCUUUUAGUUGCAGGAUGUUCAAUGAUACAAGUAAAAGGAGGGCUGUGAUUGGUUAUAUUGCCCACUAUGCCAAUUUCUCUGUUUAAAAUGGGCCAUUACAUUUUUAUAUUUGUUUUAUAUUCAUUAAAUUAAGAAAAUUGUUAUUGAAAUCAAAACACAUUUCAGAGCAAGCUGUAUUUUUUAAAAUAUUUUUUUAAACAUUUAUUUAACUCGGCAAGUCCGUUAAGAACAAAUUCUUAUUUACAAUGCCGGCCAAACCCGGACAACGCUGGGCCAAUUGUGCGCCGGCCUAUGGGACUCCUAAACACGGCCCGUUGUGAUAGUGGUAAAGCUUCAUUUGUGUCACCUACAGAUGAAACAUUAUGGAGUCUUAAAAGAGGCCUGCCUGGGUAAGGCUAAAAUGCCAACUUUGAUAAAUGAUUUCUCGAUUAUAGUUUUAGAAUAAAUUUCAUGAAAAUCCCCCAAAAAUCAUGGUAGCUUUUUGUUCUGGUUUCGUGAGGAAUUACCCCAAAAACAUUUGGUAUCGUACACAGUAAAUCUCUUUCCUCCAGCACAGUGAAAUCAAAUUCGCUAGGUAUGUUCCCAUGCAUUGGGAAAGCGUACAAUCUUCAAUUGUUUUGAGGUUGGAAAGUAUACAACUGUGUGUGUGUUUGUAGUUUACAUACACCUUAGCCAAAUACAUUUAAACUCCGUUUUUCACAAUUCCUGACACUUAAUCCUUGUAAAAAUUCCCUGUCUAAGGUCAGUUAGGAUCACCACUUUAUUUCAAGAAUGUGAAAUGUCAGAAUAAUAGUAUAGAGUGAUUUAUUUCAGCAUUUAUUUCAUUCAUCACAUUCCCAGUGGGUCAGAAGUUUACAUACACUCAAUUAGUAUUUGGUAGCAUUGCCUUUCAAUUGUUUAACUUGGAUCAAACAUUUUGGGUAGCCUUCCACAAGCUUCCCACAAUAAGUUGGGUGAAUUUUGGCCCAUUCCUCCUGAGCUGGUGUAACUGAGUCAGGUUUGUAGGCCUCCUUCCUUGCACUUGCUUUUUCAGUUCUACCCACACAGUUUCUAUAGGAUUGAGGUCAGGGCUUUGUGAUGGCCACUCCAAUACCUUGACUUUGUUGUCCUAAAGCCAUUUUGCCACAACUUUGGAAGUAUGCUUGGGGUAAUUGUCCAUUUGGAAGACCCAUUUGCGACCAAGCUUUAACUUCCUGGCUGAUGUCAAGAGAUGUUGCUUCAAUAUAUCCACAUAAUUUCCCCCCCUCAUGAUGCCAUCUAUUUUGUGAAGUGCACCCUCCUGCAGCAAAGCACCCCCACAACAUGAUGCUGCCACCCCCGUGCUUCAAGGUUGGGAUGGUGUUCUUCGGCUUGCAAGCUUCCCCCUUUUUCCUCCAAACAUAACAAUGGUCAUUAUGGCCAAACAGUUCUAUUUUUGUUUCAUCAGACCAGAGGACAUUUCUCCAAAAAGUACAAUCUUUGUCCCCAUGUGCAGUUGGAAACCGUAGUCUGGCUUUUUUAUGGUGGUUUUGGAGCAGUGGCUUCUUCCUUGCUGAGCGGCCUUUCAGGUUAUGUCGAUUUCGGACUCGUUUUACUGUAGAUAUUGAUACUUUUGUACCCGUUUCCUCCAGCAUCUUCACAAGGUCCUUUGCUGUUGUACUGGGAUUGAUUUGCACUUUUUGUACCAAAGUACGUUCAUCUCUAGGAGACAGAAUGCGUCUCCUUCCUGAACGGUAUGACAGCUGCGUGGUCCCAUGGUGUUUAUACUUGCGUUCUAUUGUUUGUACAGAUGAACGUGGUACCUUCAGGUACCACCAUUUGGAAAUUGCUCCCAAGGAUGAACCAGACUUGUGGAGGUCUACCAUUAUUUUUCUGAGGUCUUGGCUGAUUUCUUUUGAUUUUCCCAUGAUGUCAAGCAAAGAGGCACUGAGUUUGAAGGUAGACCUCUAAUUGACUCAAAUUAUGUCAAUUAGCCUAUCAGAAGCUUCCAAAGCCAUGACAAUUUUCUGGAAUUUUCCAAGCUGUUUAAAGGCACAGUCAACUUAGUGUAUGUAAACUUCUGACCCAUUGGAAUUAUGAUACAGUGAAUUAUAAGUGAAAUCUGUCUAAAUAAUUGUUAGACAAAUAACUUGUGUCAUACAUAAAGUAGAUGUCCUAACCGACUUGCCAAAACGAUAGUUUGUUAACAAGACAUUUUUUGGAGUGGUUGAAAAAUUAGUUUUAAUGACACACUUAGUUUGGAAUGUGAACUUCUGACUUCAAGUGUGUGUGUGAGAGAACUUAUGAGUGGUGUUUUUGGUACAUUCCAAUAGUCUCCUUAUCCUAAGAUUCCAUGUGAAUAAUUCACAACAUUCUGUUGUUGCUCAUAAAGGCAUCUGAUAAGGUUGCCUGACAUGCCUCUGCUAAGAUGAGCUACACUCAUUGAAUAGGUACUGGUCAUUGCAAGGAUUCAAGGAUAAUAUAUUUAUAUAUAUAUUAGUUACCAGUCAAAAGUUUGGACACACCUACUCAUUCAAGGUUUUUUUUUAUUUAUUUGUACUAUUUUCUACAUUGUAGAAUAAUAGUGGUCAAAAUAGCCCUUACACAGCCUGGAGGUGUGUUGGGUUAUUGUCCUGUUGAAAAAUGAAUUCUAGUCCCACUAAGCGCAAACCAGAUGGGAAGGCGUAUCGCUGCAGAACGUUGUGAUAGCUAUGCUGGUUAAUCAAAUCAAAUGUAUUUAUAUAGCUUUUCUUACAUCAGCUGAUAUAUCAAAGUGCUGUACAGAAACCCAGCCUAAAACCCCAAACAGCAAGCAAUGCAGGUGUAGAAGCACGGUGGCUGGGGGAAAACUCCUUUGGAAAGACCAAAACAUAGAGAGGAACCAGGCUAUAAGGGGUGGCCAGUCCUCUUCUUGCUGUGGCUGGUGGAGAUUAUAACAGAACAUGGUCAAGAUGUUCAAAUGUUCACAAAUGACCAGCAUGGUCAAAUAAUAACAAUCACAGUAGUUGUCGAGGGUGCAACAAGUCAGCACCUCAGGCUAUGAAAAGCUAACUGACACUUACUCCUAUCUCUACCGCUCCUGCUGUCUCUAGAGAGUUGAAAACAGCAGGUCUGGGACACGUAGCAUGUCCGGUGAACAGGUCAGGGUUCCAUAGCCGCAGGCAGAACAGUAAGUUUUUCUUGAAUCUAAAAUAAUCACAACAGGGUCACCAGCAAAGCACCAUCACACCUCCUCCUCCAUGCUUCAAAGGUACACCUGUUAGUUGAAAUGCAUUCCAGCUGACUAGCUCAUGAAGCUGGUUGAGAGAAUGCCAAGGGUCUGAAAAGCUGUCAUUAAGGCAAAGUGUGGCAACUUUGAAGAAUCUCAAAUAUAAAAUGUGUUUUGAUUUUAACAUUUUUGUUUGUUACUACAUGAUUCCAUAUGUGUUAUUUCAUAGUGAAGACAUUAAAACUAUCAUUCUACAAUGUAUAAAAUAGUACAAAUAAAGAAAAACACUUUAAUGAGUAGGUGUGUCCAAACCUUUGACUGGUAGUGUGUAUAUACAGUGGGGCAAAAAAGGUAUUUAGUCAGCCACCAAUUUUGCAAGUUCUCCCACUUAAAAAGAUGGAGAGGCCUGUCAACUAUGACAGACAAAAUGAGGGGGAAAAAAUCCAGAAAAUCACAUUGUAGGAUUUUUAUGAAUUUAUUUGCAAAUUAUGGUGGAAAAUAAGUAUUUGGUCACCUACAAACAAGCAAGAUGUCUGGCUCUCACAGACCUGUAACAACUUCUUCAAGAGGCUACUCUGUCCUCCACUUGUUACCUGUAUUAAUGGCACCUGUUUGAAUUUGUUAUCAGUAUAAAAGACACCUGUCCACAACCUCAAACAGUCACACUCCAAACUCCACUAUGGCCAAGACCAAAGAGCUGUCAAAGGACACCAGAAACAAAAUUGUAGACCUGCACCAGGCUGGGAAGACUGAAUCUGCAAUCGGUAAGCAGCUUGGUUUGAAGAAAUCAGCUGUGGGAGCAAUUAUUAGGAAAUGGAAGACAUACAAAACCACUGAUAAUCUCCCUCGAUCUGGGGCUCCCCAUGCAAGAUCUCGCCCCGUGGGGUCAAAAUGAUCACAAGAACAGUGAGCAAAAAUCCCAGAACCACACGGGGGGACCUAGUGAAUGACCUGCAGAGAGCUGGGACCAAAGUAACAAAGCCUACCAUCAGUAACACACUACGCCACCAGGGACUCAAAUCAUGCAGUGCCAGACGUGUCCCCCUGCUUAAGUCAGUACAUGUCCAGGCCCAUCUGAAGUUUGCUAGAGAGCAUUUGGAUGAUCCAGAAGAAGGUUGGGAGAAUGAAACCAAAAUAUAACUUUUUGGUAAAAACUCAACUCGUUGUGUUUGGAGGACAAAGAAUGCUGAGUUGCAUCCAAAGAACACCAUACCUACUGUGAUGCAUGGGGGUGGAAACAUCAUGCUUUGGGGCUGUUUUUCUGCAAAGGGACCAGGAUGACUGAUCCGUGUAAAGGAAAGAAUGAAUAGGGCCAUGUAUCAUGAGAUUUUGAGUGAAAACCUCCUUCCAUCUGCAAGGGCAUUGAAGAUGAAACGUGGCUGGGUCUUUCAGCAUGACAAUGAUCCCAAACACACCGCCCGGGCAAUGAAGGAGUGGCUUCGUAAGAAGCAUUUCAAGGUCCUGGAGUGGCCUAGCCAGUCUCCAGAUCUCAACCCCAUAGAAAAUCUUUGGAGCGAGUUUCGAAGUCUGUGUUGCCAAGCAACAGCCCCAAAACAUCACUGCUCUAGAGGAGAUCUGCAUGGAGGAAUGGGCCAAAAUACCAGCAACAGUGUGUGAACCUUGUGAAGACUUACAGAAAACAUUUGACCCCUGUCAUUGCCAACAAAGGGUAUAUAACAAAGUUUUGAGAUACACUUUUGUUAUUGACCAAAUACUUAUUUUCCAACAUAAUUUGCAAAUAAAUUCAUAAAAAAUCCUACAAUGUGAUUUUCUGGAUUUUUUUUCUCAUUUUGUCUGUCAUAGUUGAAGUGUACCUAUGAUGAAAAUUACAGGCCUCUCUCAUCUUUUUAACUUGCACAAUUGGUGGCUGACUAAAUACUUUUUUGCCCCACUGUAUGUGUCCACAUUUUCCACAGGUGAACUGGUUUCUUCUCUUUUUGAAUUUGCCUAUAAAUAAACUGCACCUCUGUUCACAUUGUCACAUUCAAAUAAAGUAAGAUAUUGGAUAUAUUCGUGUUUGAAAGUUUGCCCAUCUGAUGUCAGUGAAAUAGAUCAACACUCUUGUUCAGGGUCUUACCAGUGGCUACAUUUCCAUUAACUUUUCAAGUAUUUUUUUGUUGACAUUUAGAAAGUUUGCAUUGAAAAUACUCCGGCGUUUCCUUUUAACUAUUUUGUCGCUAAAAAAACAGCUGGACGUAACGACAUCGCACACAAACCUGGUGAAGAAUAAAAAAGUCAUUGAAGUGUUUCUAUUAUCCAUUUAGGCAAAUUGUGCAUUAAUAAAUUGCUGACAACCUGUAUGUCCUCCCACCUAUCUGUUUCAUGUCUCAGGUAGCCCGCAAAAGCCAGCAUGGAUAGAAUGCACAGUCUGUGCCAUGGUGAAACUUGCGCUCCUGUAGCCUAGAUCUGAAAUAAUUCGAUAGUGAAACUUGCAAUUCAGCCAACCAGAAAAGCAAGGCGAUUAAGACCAUCCUUGUUCUGCAAAGAAACAUUUAGAUGUAACUGUUUUGGAUGUAAAAAAUAGUUUUAGCAAGCAGUAGGUAUUUAGAAUUAGAUGUGGAGUGGAGCUUUAUAAUAACGUAAUGACAUCACGUACCUUCAAAUUUAUUCGGCAAUCAUUUUAUUUAUUUUUUAAACACCGUUUCCAUAAUUGUUCGCGAUGAAGAAAGUUUGACGAAAUACAAAUCCACCUAUGCCAAACGAAUACAAAAUGUGUCGAUUUUUAGAACGUUUCUCCUAUAGCUGCCGUUGCUAUGUUUUUGUUCUUGCGACAUUGUUUUUAUCGAAUAAACAUUGAUCAAUGAAAACCUUGUCUAAUGACAUCUGAUGCCUCACACGAACACUGUGGUCAUGUUGUGGUUGGUUUCUGGGUUCUACAGUUCCUGGUUUGCUCAUUUUAAUGUGUUAUCUGAAUAAAUGGACUGGCUAGCAAGAGCAGUCGGCUACAUGACAAAGGUCACUGAUGUCUCGCUGAAAUAGAAAUUAGAUUAAAAGUAGGGUGUAGCCAGAGCAUGUUAUGUACUGUGUGGGGAACACUUUAUAAAGUAAAGAGUUGUUGAAUUUAUCAGUCCGUCAUAGCUAACAGUCGACAGGAUGCCAAUGUCGUCUUAUUUCCUUCCCCCUCUCCUUUUAUAGCGCAACUCUCUUCAGUCAAUGAUUUAAGAGACCUGGGCUCGUUGAUGUUUGAACCAUAGAGAUACAUAGAGAUCGAAUUGGCGCGGGCACUAGAAAAGUCUGCAGCACCCGGCCUCACCCUACUAGAAUCCGAAGUCAAAUGUCUGCUGUUUGCUGAUGAUCUGGUGCUUCUGUCACCAACCAAGGAGGGCCUACAGCAGCACCUAGAUCUUAUGCACAGAUUCUGUCAGACCUGGGCCCUAACAGUAAAUCUCAGUAAGACCAAAAUAAUGGUGUUCCAAAAAAGGUCCAGUCACCAGGACCACAAAUACAAAUUCCAUCUAGACACUGUUGCCCUAGAGCACACAAAAAACUAUACAUACCUUGGCCUAAACAUCAGCGCCACAGGUAACUUCCACAAAGCUGUGAACGAUCUGAGAGACAAGGCAAGAAGGGCAUUCUAUGCCAUCAAAAGGAACAUAAAUUUCAACAUACCAAUUAGGAUUUGGCUAAAAAUACUUGAAUCAGUCAUAGAGCCCAUUGCCCUCUAUGGUUGUGAGGUCUGGGGUCCGCUCACCAACCAAGACUUCACAAAAUGGGACAAACACCAAAUUGAGACUCUGCACGCAGAAUUCUGCAAAAAUAUCCUCCGUGUACAACGUAGAACACCAAAUAAUGCAUGCAGUGCAGAAUUAUGCCGAUACCCACUAAUUAUCAAAAUCCAGAAAAGAGCCGUUAAAUUCUAUAACCACUUAAAAGGAAGUGAUUCCCAAACCUUCCACAACAAAGCCAUCACCUACAGAGAGAUGAACCUGGAGAAGAGUCCCCUAAGCAUGAGAAAACAAAAAGAUAAUUACUUGACACAUUGGAAAGAAUUAACAAAAAAACAGAGCAAACUUGAAUGCUAUUUGGCCCUACACAGAGAGUACACAGCGGCAGAAUACCUGACCACUGUGACUGACCCAAAAUUAAGGAAAGCUUUGACUAUGUACAGACUCAGUGAGCAUAGCCUUGCUAUUGAGAAAGGCCGCCGUAGGCAGACAUGGCCCUCAAGAGAAGACAGGCUAUGUGCUCACUGCCCACAAAAUGAGGUGGAAACUGAGCUGCACUUCCUAGCCUCCUGCCCAAUGUAUGACCAUAUUAGAGAGACAUAUUUCCCUCAGAUUACACAGAUCCACAAAGAAUUCGAAAACAAAUCCAAUUUUGAUAAACUUCCAUAUCUACUGGGUGAAAUUCCACAGUGUGCCAUCACAGCAGCAAGAUUUGUGACCUGUUGCCACGAGAAAAGGGCAACCAGUGAAGAACACACACCAUUGUAAAUACAACCCAUAUUUAUGCUUAUUUAUUUUAUCUUGUGUCCUUUACCAUUUGUACAUUGUUAAAACACUGUAUAUAUAUAUAUAAUAUGACAUUUGUAAUGUCUUUAUUGUUUUGAAACUUCUGUAUGUGUAAUGUUUACUGUUAAUUUUUAUUGUUUAUUUCACUUUAUAUAUUCACUUUAUACAUUAUCUACCUCACUUGCUUUGGCAAUGUUAACAC